AACGCACCUUGCGCCCUUUGGCUAUUCCGAAGGGCAUGCCUGUUUGAGUAUCAUGAACACCUCAACUCUCAUGGUUUGCCAUGAAGAGCUUGGACUUUGGGGGUCUUGCUGGCCUAUGGUCGGCUCCUCUCAAAUGAAUCAGCUUUCCAGUGUUUGGUGGCGUCACGGGUGUGAUAACUAUCUACGCUUGUGGUGUUCUGCCAGGUAACCUUCAGCAAUGGGGGUUCGCUGGAGCUCAUAAACGUCUCCAUGGUGGGGACAGCUUUGUGAAUGUUUGAUCUCAAAUCAGGUAGGACUACCCGCUGAACUUAA
rnacentral:misc_RNA from 2 species